UGUGGUCUAACAUGUUUUGGAAAUCUAAAUGUUUCUUCUUUGUGGUGUUCUUUAGGUGCUCACGUGAUGGUGCUCACAGGUGCGGUAUUGCAAUGGUCAGCGGCAACAUUCCAUGCCGUGUGCAGAUCAAAAAUCUCCAGCACCUAUCAGUUGGUUCCCUCGAGCCCCAGCGUCAACUCUCUAGAGCAAUCAACAGUGUCCUAUGUUCAUGUGUUUCUGCCUUUUUGUUCUCACCUUGGCUGGUCCGUAACAAAACUCAAUACCUAAUGAUGAACACUUAAGGUAACCCUUGCCACCAUUGAGGAAUAAAAUAAUGAAGAUCGAUAGUGAUUCACAUGCUUUUGAUAUUGAACAUUAAUUAUUUUACUAUAUGCAUUUCCUAUAAAUUUCCUUACUGAUCAAUGCUAAAUCUUUCUCUCUGAAGGCCUCUUAUUAACACCUUUUAAGAUCAA